UACGUAGGGGGCAAGCGUUGUCCGGAUUUAUUGGGCGUAAAGAGCGUGUAGGCGGUUCGGUAGGUCCGUUGUGAAAACUCGAGGCUCAACCUCGAGACGCCGAUGGAAACCAUCGAACUAGAGUCCGGAAGAGGAGAGUGGAAUUCCUGGUGUAGCGGUGAAAUGCGCAGAUAUCAGGAGGAACACCGGUGGCGAAGGCGGGACUCUGGGCCGAUACUGACGCUGAGGAGCGAAAGCUAGGGGAGCAAACGGG
rnacentral:rRNA from 1 species